rnacentral:pre_miRNA from 1 species
CUUUUUUUUUAACAGACAAUAUAGUUUGAACAUUUCAUCCAUAGCCACUAGUAUAUUAUGUCACAAUAUUUUAGUUGAAUAAUACACCUUAGUCUUACUGCCUUUUCUCAUCCACGGGUCUUACAGCUACAGUAUUAUUCAUCUAAAAUAUCAGACUGUUGUGCUUCCAGAAAAUAUUGUUCAAACAUAUACUGUUUAAAUCAAAA